AUAUAUAAAUCCCCUCUUUUUAUAUCAUUCCACACAAAUAUCUAUUUCUUCUCCCAGAAACCAAAAGAAAAAGAGAGCGGAGACACACGAAACUGUGAAAAUCUGGGUCCCUAAAAAUUUCUUUAAUGGCGAGGCCUAAUCAGGAAGCUAUCGAGACCUUCAUGAACAUCACCGGCGCGACGGAGGCAGUCGCCGUUGAAAAACUCGAGGCGCAUGGCGGCGAUCUCAAUGAAGCUGUGAAUGUACAUUUUAGUGAAGGAGAUAGAAACACAUCAGCAAACAUGCAUGAGACCUCUGUGGCUGUUCCACAAGAUGAUUUAAUGGAUAUUGAUCCAGUUGAACCACAAGUACCUCCUUCAUCGCUUCUCUCUGCAGCUGGGAUUAUGAAUCCAUUAUCUAUUCUUGAUCCAAACUUCCGUAGAAGAUUUCUCGAUGGUAGUUCUGAUCUUACAAACCGUGGUCCCUUUGUUACACAUCCAAGAGAAGUUAGGGAGAUUCCCAUAGAGGUAAAGGAUGGCAAUCAGCCAUCCAGUCAUUCUGGACAGGCUCCUGCUAUUGAGGAUGUCACUGGAACUGUCCAUGCAGGUGGUCCAGAUAUUCAUGGGACUGUUUUAAUUGAUGAUGAUGAAGAUGAGGAUAUUUCAGCUGCCUCAACUGCGCAGGCUAGACUGUGGGAUGGAGGAAAAGAUCAUAUUUUGGGUGAUGGUUCUCAUGGCGGAAAUGUUAGACCCAAUGCUCCUGAAUUUGAGAGUUUGCCAGACUAUAGCAAUGACAUAGAAGAAGAAAUGGUUCGAGCUGCCAUUGAGGCUUCAAAAUGGGAGCUUGAGGCUGCACAAAAUGAUUUAGCUGACCCAGAGCCUCUGCCAAGGAAAUCUCACUUGGAAGAUCCUGAACUUGCACAUGCAGUUUCAUUGUCCCUGAAGACAGCAGAGAAAGAGAAAGCAUUGCGUGCGCAAGGGGAAGGUGCUGGGGCAUCAAAAGUAGGACUUAAGCCAGCUGAGGUGGAGCUACAAGAAUUAGCUGCAUCAAAUGGGAGGUUGGAGCCCGGAAGCUCAUCCAUCCAAGAGGAAGUUGAAGAUGUGGAGGAGCAGCCUCUUGUCAGGCAUAGGUCCCGACGCAUGUCUUCUGGAUCUUUGGACUCUGCCAAAGGUGUUGAAGUUGUUGAGGCUGGCUCACCAUCAAGUCCUGGACAGCAUGAUAUUGGUAAUCCUCCACAGCACAGUGGAAAUGCCUUCCCUUCUGAUGAGUGGGGAGGGAUUUCUUCUGAGGAGCAUGAUGAAGCGGUCAUGCUGGAGGCUGCCAUGUUCGGUGGAAUUCCUGAAGGGACUGGAUAUCGUUUUGCAUAUGCACCUCAUCAGUUCAUGCAAGCUGAGGACCAUUAUCCCCAGCGAAUGCCUCGCCCGCCAUCACCCACCCUGGCUGCUCAACGCAUGAUACGGGAACAACAGGAUGAUGAAUAUCUUGCAUCUUUGCAAGCUGACAGAGAAAAAGAAUUGAAGGCCGUGGAGGAGGCCGAAGCUCAGCGUUUACAAGAGGAAGCAGCUAGAGAAGCUGCUCAUGAAGAAGAGAGACGAAGAGAGGAAGAAUCUCGUAGAAAAUUGGAGGAAAAGCAGAAGAACAGCUCAUCCAACAUCUUCUUGUACUCAGCAACAUCUUCUUGAAUCGUCCAAACAUGGCCCAUUGUCGGAAACCUAAACCUCAUAGGCUCACUCCCCCACCUAUCCAUCCACGCACUAUCCCAAAAAUAUGGCCCCAUCAUGCAGCUCCUUUUAUCUUUCUUCCCUGUUGUUGUCGGCUCUUCCGUCGAAAUGGCCAAGGCACUGUCUUCUCCAACCCAUCUAGGCAUCAACAAAAUCCUUUCCUUUAUGGAAAACCUACUACCCAUCAAGAAACGAGUUUGGGACCUUGUAUCUCGCCUCACAUUGGACGAGAAGAUGUCUCAGCUCGUUAACUCAACGCCUCUGAUCCCCCGGCUUGGUAUCCCUGGCUACCAGUGGGGGCUCAAGGCUUUACACUGCAUUGCCAACGCUGGCCCCGACAUCCAUGUAUCUAAUCAUCCUCCCCUGGCUCCCCAACCUCGCUGCUCUAGAGCUCCUCCUCCGUUGGGCCUCUCCUCUUCUUCACCAUCGCUCUCCAAAAACCUUUCACCCUCCUCUCCCAACCACUCUUUCCCUCGUCCUCCUGCUUGGUCCUCGGCUGCAGAUUGGAGGGAGCUGAGCGGGCAAGUCGUGGUGGAGCGGUGGUGGGUGGAGAGGUAGAGAGCAGGUUUUGGUGGUGGUGAUUGGGAGAAGAUGCAUAAACCAUUGAAUUGGAGAGACAAUUAGCUGCAAAAGAAGCUUCUCUGCCUCAGGAACCAGCUUCUGAUGAUGAAAAUGCUGUAACCCUUCUAGUUCGGAUGCCAGAUGGUAGCCGCCGCGGGCGCCGAUUUCUCAAGUCGGACAAGCU